rnacentral:lncRNA from 1 species
CCACCAGGAUACUGCUGCUUACUUCUAGAAUCUUAAACUCUACCAUGUCGUGGCUGCUGCAGCCAAGGUGCCCAGGUGACCAAAAAGGCCAGUAACAUCCUGGCCUGUAACAGUGUGGCUAGCAGGUCUAGAGAAGUGAUUGUCCCUUUGUAUGAAGCACAGGUGAGACUGCAUUUUGAAUACUGUGUUCAGUUUGGGGCCCAUCAUUACAAGAAGGACACGGAGUUGCUCGAGCAUGUGCAGAGAACAGCAAUGAAACUGGUAAAGGGACUAGAAAACAGGACUUACACUCCUUGUGACUGAGGAAAUGGGACUGUUUCAUCUGGAGAAAAGGAGGGUGAGGGGAGACUUCAUCACUCUCUACAGCUACCUGAAAAGGAGGUUGCAGCAAAGUGGGUAUUGGUCUCUUUUCUAAGGUGACACAUGGUAGGGCAAGAGGAAAUGAUCGCAGGUUGCACCAGGGAAGGUUUAGAUUGGAUGCUAGGAAUAAUUUAUUCAUGGAGAGGGUGAGCAAGCAUUGGAACAGGCUGCCCCACUGGUUUAAUAAUGAGACUUGUUAGGUAGGUCAGGUUGAUGGUUGGAUUUGGUGAUCUUGAAGGUCUUUUCCAACCUAAUUGAUUCUAUGAUUUUUGAUACUCUAAAGGUAUCAUUUGACAGCUUGGUUUGAAUCUAUAUGGAUGAGCAGUGGGAGCACUGAAGGUAGUAAACAUGGUUGGGGGUAAUGGCCUCUGUUCUUACAAGAACAAGUCCCUAACCACUUUGAUUAAAUUAGUAUCAGCAUUAAUGUUGUAACAAUACUGUUCACAGAUUCCAAUAGUAUAUUGUUCCUAUAUUCAGACUUCCUAAUGAUGAGCCCAGCAUGAUCAAUACUCUUUUGCAGGAGUAUAUCUGUACUACCCACUGCAGCUGCAUACAAUAACAAAGCUCAAGCAGAAAUCAAACUUCAGGAUUGGGACAGUGCUUUGCAGGAUUGUGAGAAGGUGCUAGAUAUGGAGCCUGGCAAUGUAAAAGCUCUGUUGCGCCGUGCCACUGUUUACAAUCAGCUGAAGAAUUACCAGGCAGCUAUGAAGGAUCUGAACACAGUAUUAUGCAUUGAACCAGAAAAUGCUGUAGCUAAGGUAAAGAUAAAUGACUUGCAUAUGACUCGAAAAAGGUUGCAGGCAGUUGUAGAAUAGAGUGCUAAUCAUUUAUAUUAUUUGAUUUGAGUCUUAAUUCUGAGGACACAAUUAUCUACUGUGCCAAUGAUCAGUUUCCUGAGACCACUUAGGUGCCCGUGGUAGAAAGUAGGUACCUGAAUGUGACCAAAUCUUCUCGUACUUAGUUGUGAGAACCUGUAGGCGCUGAAGUUUUCUGUAUUAAAGUAAUCUAGGUGCCUGACAUACAGCUGCUGAACAUGCUCACAGUGUUAGUGUAUUGGCUGAAAUUUCUGUCAAAAAGAUCCAUUGGGAUAAAUGUACUUGAAGUUUGAUACGUAAUUCACAAGAAAAAUUCAAAAGAGAUGCCAAACUUCUGUUGUUGUGGUAAAGCUAACCUGAAAGGAGAAGACCUAAGUCCUGUCUUUACAUCAGUGUGUUCAGCGUUAUGAAUCUCAUUUCUCAUCUCCAGGCUAGGAAAAAAAAAACAAACAAACAAAUAAAACCCUUGCAUACUUUUUGGAUAGAGACCUAGGAAAGCAGGAUGCUUAUUUGAAAGCUCAGCGCCAGGAUGUGGUCCUUGUACAAGUACUACUUCAGCUAGUUAGGAGGAGAUUGGUUCUUGUCAUUUCAUUGGUAUUUUCUUACGGUGAUUUACAGCUUGGAACCUAGUCCUAGAAUAUGGGUACCACCUGCCCUGAGAAUUUUCAGUACAAGGCAGUUUUGAUACUAAGCUGCUCUUUGCUUGUCCAUCAUGCUGCUACCCCUCAAUUUUGGGGAAUUGUCUCAUCACGUGAAUUCUGUUUACUUCUUACUGUUGGCACAUUUUAAAACGCUAGCAGCUUGCUGACUGCUUCUUCUUUCUGUGGAGUUACUUGACCACUGCUACUGCUUGCACCAGAAAAGUCAGAGAAGUCUAAGCCUGUAUGUCAAAUUAACAACCUAUUGCAUUCAUGCCUGUUCUUGCAGAUAACUUCCUAGCAAGAACAGUUCACAUUAGUAGUAUGACUAGAUCCAGAGUUUGCAUCAACCAAGGAAUCUACUUACCUGCUUCUUUAUCUUUUCAAACACGUCUGUCUUGAUUUGCCUGCUAAAAGAACUCUUUUGCUUUCUGUUUUCCUCUUUAUAACGCUGAACUUCGAAGUCUAUGCUGACAAACUCCACAAAAGUCUUUGUGCAAAGUCUAUGCUGAGACUUCUUAUAAUGGUAUGCAUUGUGAGUACACUCUUCAGAGAUCAAAAACAGUAGUAGCUCUGCUGAGUAAUGCUUUUCAUUGCUGAAACAGAUGUUGGUCCCUUGUCCCUAUCUGUGCCAGCUCUUAUGCCUUGGCUGAGACAUUUAGAGGUGAUACAGUGCUUGGCAGGACAUGUUUUUUAGUUGCUUUUUGCUUGAAGGAUCCUCAAAACCCUCUUAAGCUAAAUAGGAGAAUGUAGAACACAAAGAAGAUGAAUGUUUGUAUG